UACGUAGGGUGCAAGCGUUGUCCGGAAUUAUUGGGCGUAAAGAGCUCGUAGGCGGUUUGUCGCGUCUGCUGUGAAAUCCCGAGGCUCAACCUCGGGUCUGCAGUCGAUACGAGCAAACUAGAGUGUUGCAGGGGAGACUGGAAUUCCUGGUGUAGCGGUGAAAUGCGCAGAUAUCAGGAGGAACACCGGUGGCGAAGGCGGGUCUCUGGGCCGAUACUGACGCUGAGGAGCGAAAGCGUGGGGAGCGAACAGG
rnacentral:rRNA from 1 species